AACGCUGGCGGCAGGCUUAACACAUGCAAGUCGAACGCCCUCGCAAGGGGGAGUGGCAGACGGGUGAGUAACACGUGGGAACAUACCCUUUGGUUCGGAACAACGUCUGGAAACGGACGCUAAUACCGGAUACGCCCUUUUGGGGAAAGGCUUUGCUGCCGGAGGAUUGGCCCGCGUUCGAUUAGCUUGAUGGCGGGGUAACGGCCCACCAUGGCGACGAUCGAUAGCUGGUCUGAGAGGAUGGCCAGCCACAUUGGGACUGAGACACGGCCCAAACUCCUACGGGAGGCAGCAGUGGGGAAUAUUGGACAAUGGGCGCAAGCCUGAUCCAGCCAUGCCGCGUGAGUGAUGACGGCCUUAGGGUUGUAAAGCUCUUUCGCACGCGACGAUAAUGACGGUAGCGUGAGAAGAAGCCCCGGCUAACUUCGUGCCAGCAGCCGCGGUAAUACGAAGGGGGCUAGCGUUGUUCGGAAUCACUGGGCGUAAAGGGUGCGUAGGCGGGCAUUUAAGUCAGGGGUGAAAUCCCGAGGCUCAACCUCGG
rnacentral:rRNA from 1 species